rnacentral:tRNA from 1 species
AGUUAAUGAACUUGAAUAAGUAUAUAUUUUGAAAAUAUAUUAUAGAGUAAACAUCCUCUAUUAACUU